rnacentral:rRNA from 1 species
UUAAAAAGCUCGUAGUUGAAUUUCGGGGUUAGUAGGUUGGUCAUGCCUCUGGUAUGUACUGGUCUCACUGAUUCCUCCUUCCUGAUGAACCGUAAUGCCAUUAAUUUGGUGUUGCGGGGAAUUUGGACUGUUACUUUGAAAAAAUUAGAGUGCUUAAAGCAAGCUAACGCUUGAAUACAUUAGCAUGGAAUAAUGAAAUAGGACGUUCGAUCCUAUUUUGUUGGUUUCUAGGAUUGACGUAAUGAUUAAUAGGGAUAGUUGGGGG